rnacentral:rRNA from 1 species
UACGUAGGGGGCAAGCGUUGUCCGGAUUUAUUGGGCGUAAAGAGCGUGUAGGCGGUUAGGUAGGUCCGUUGUGAAAACUCGAGGCUCAACCUCGAGACGCCGAUGGAAACCAUCUAACUAGAGUCCGGAAGAGGAGAGUGGAAUUCCUGGUGUAGCGGUGAAAUGCGCAGAUAUCAGGAGGAACACCAAUGGCGAAGGCAGCUCGCUGGGACGUGACUGACGCUGAGACGCGAAAGCGUGGGGAGCAAACAGG